AAUUUCUUGGCUAAACUCAUUAUUGCUCAAAUUCAAGUAGAUCAGUUUAGCUAAGUUUCCAAUGGUUUCUGGAAUCGAUUGGUUUAGUCCAUUUGCAGACAGGUCUAGAUACUCAAGAUCCGUUAACAAUCCAAAUUCGGAAGGUAUACCACCUGAGAGAUGAUUGUCACUUAAAUUCACCUUUAACAUAGAAGUCAACUUUCCCAAUUCCUUAGGAAUCCUCCCAAACAGUUGGUUGGAAGAAAGAUCAAGUGA
rnacentral:misc_RNA from 1 species